rnacentral:rRNA from 1 species
GAUGAACGCUGGCGGCGUGCCUAAUACAUGCAAGUCGAGCGAACGGACGAGAAGCUUGCUUCUCUGAUGUUAGCGGCGGACGGGUGAGUAACACGUGGAUAACCUACCUAUAAGACUGGGAUAACUUCGGGAAACCGGAGCUAAUACCGGAUAAUAUUUUGAACCGCAUGGUUCAAAAGUGAAAGACGGUCUUGCUGUCACUUAUAGAUGGAUCCGCGCUGCAUUAGCUAGUUGGUAAGGUAACGGCUUACCAAGGCAACGAUGCAUAGCCGACCUGAGAGGGUGAUCGGCCACACUGGAACUGAGACACGGUCCAGACUCCUACGGGAGGCAGCAGUAGGGAAUCUUCCGCAAUGGGCGAAAGCCUGACGGAGCAACGCCGCGUGAGUGAUGAAGGUCUUCGGAUCGCAAAACUCUGUUAUUAGGGAAGAACAUAUGUGUAAGUAACUGUGCACAUCUUGACGGUACCUAAUCAGAAAGCCACGGCUAACUACGUGCCAGCAGCCGCGGUAAUACGUAGGUGGCAAGCGUUAUCCGGAAUUAUUGGGCGUAAAGCGCGCGUAGGCGGUUUUUUAAGUCUGAUGUGAAAGCCCACGGCUCAACCGUGGAGGGUCAUUGGAAACUGGAAAACUUGAGUGCAGAAGAGGAAAGUGGAAUUCCAUGUGUAGCGGUGAAAUGCGCAGAGAUAUGGAGGAACACCAGUGGCGAAGGCGACUUUCUGGUCUGUAACUGACGCUGAUGUGCGAAAGCGUGGGGAUCAAACAGGAUUAGAUACCCUGGUAGUCCACGCCGUAAACGAUGAGUGCUAAGUGUUAGGGGGUUUCCGCCCCUUAGCGCUGCAGCUAACGCAUUAAGCACUCCGCCUGGGGAGUACGACCGCAAGGUUGAAACUCAAAGGAAUUGACGGGGACCCGCACAAGCGGUGGAGCAUGUGGUUUAAUUCGAAGCAACGCGAAGAACCUUACCACAUCUUGACAUCCUUUGACAACUCUAGAGAUAGAGCCUUCCCCUUCGGGGGACAAAGUGACAGGUGGUGCAUGGUUGUCGUCAGCUCGUGUCGUGAGAUGUUGGGUUAAGUCCCGCAACGAGCGCAACCCUUAAGCUUAGUUGCCAUCAUUAAGUUGGGCACUCUAAGUUGACUGCCGGUGACAAACCGGAGGAAGGUGGGGAUGACGUCAAAUCAUCAUGCCCCUUAUGAUCUGGGCUACACACGUGCUACAAUGGACAAUACAAAGGGCAGCGAAACCGCGAGGUCAAGCAAAUCCCAUAAAGUUGUUCUCAGUUCGGAUUGUAGUCUGCAACUCGACUACAUGAAGCUGGAAUCGCUAGUAAUCGUAGAUCAGCAUGCUACGGUGAAUACGUUCCCGGGUCU